GGUAGUAGCUCAGUUGGUAGAGCAUCAGCUUCCCAAGCUGAGGGUCGCGGGUUCGAGCCCCGUCUAC
rnacentral:tRNA from 1 species